rnacentral:rRNA from 1 species
UACGGAGGGGGCUAGCGUUGUUCGGAAUUACUGGGCGUAAAGCGCGCGUAGGCGGACCUGCAAGUCGGGGGUUGAAAGCCCGAGGCUCAACCUCGGAACUGCCUUCGAUACUGCGGGUCUCGAGUCCGGGAGAGGUGAGUGGAAUUCCUUAGUGUAGAGGUGAAAUUCGUAGAUAUUAGGAAGAAACACCACGUGGGCGGAAGGACGGCUC